rnacentral:lncRNA from 1 species
AAUAUAAUUUGACAUUUUGCAGUUUGAAUACAAUGCAUUUAGCUGUGAUUUUCUUUUGGUUCAUUCUGGUUAGGAUUUACUAGUCAACCUGGCAUCACUUUCAAUGAAAUUUUUGACUUCAGAGUUUUCUGUCCCUAUGGGUAGCAUAAAUUCCAACUCCAAAUUCACAUGAGUAAAGGCUUGUGAUUAAGAAUUCUCUAGACGGUUUCCCCCUCCCCUUUUGGGUCCUAUUCUACCCAGAUUCAAGGCCAAAAUCUCUACUGUUUGUACUGUUUGCUCACACUGUAGGGAAGGUUAAAAAAUAUACACUGUAUACACUGACAAUAGAUUUUUUGUCUUAAUUUUUUUUUUUUUUUUUUUUUUUUUUAGAAAUGGGACCCAUUCUUUCUCACAGGCUGGAGUUGCAGCGGUGCAAUCAUGGCUCACUGCAGCCUUGUCCUCCUGGGCUCGUGAUUCUCCUGCCUCAUCCUUUCUAGCAUCUGGGACUACAGAUGUGCACCCCCAUGCUCGGCUAAUUUUUAAAAGUAUUUUUAGAGACAGGGUCUCGCUGUGUUGCUCAGCCUGGUAUGUUGGUUUUUUGGAGGUCCUCUAAUCCAGCCUUCUACCCCGUUCUGGCUCUAGGCUUUAUUUCUUGUUCUUCCAUGUUCAUGUGGUCCAUAAAAAUCAGUCCCUAAACUUCUAGGGAUUGACAGAUGACUCCAGAGAAGAUGGCAGUUUCAGUACUUGCUCAUCUCUCUUGAUUUAUGGUUUCUCCUUGUUCCUGACCUCUGAUCAUUUCUUUUAUUCUCAUGCCAGCUCAGCUAUGUAAGUGAGAAGAGAUUUUAAAAAUAUCUUACUAGCAUUUUAGGUGUUCUGUACCAAUCUUUUUUUCUUUGACAACCAAAUCUGUCAUAUUGCUGAAAAUAAAAGUCAAUGUAUUAAUUCAGAAAAAUAGUCUGGCUAUUACAUCGGUGUGAUUUUGAUAUUUCUCCAGCACAAUAGCCAUGAAGAACUUACAAUCUAUUGAAGGAGGUAACAUUAAACUGUUACAUACUACAUUAAUAUACGAUGGUCAUUUAUACAGGGUAAAUGGGGACACAAAGGCAUAAGUGUAGAGGCCAGGAAAGCUUUGGAAGAGCUGACUGGAGCUGCCUUUUGAAAGAAAAAGGUGUCCUCAGCCGCCCC